UACGUAGGGUGCGAGCGUUAAUCGGAAUUACUGGGCGUAAAGCGUGCGCAGGCGGUUAUGUAAGACAGAUGUGAAAUCCCCGGGCUCAACCUGGGAACUGCAUUUGUGACUGCAACGCUGGAGUGCGGCAGAGGGGGAUGGAAUUCCGCGUGUAGCAGUGAAAUGCGUAGAGAUGUGGAGGAACACCGAUGGCGAAGGCAGCCCCCUGGGCCAAUACUGACGCUCAUGCACGAAAGCGUGGGGAGCAAACAGG
rnacentral:rRNA from 1 species